rfam:Candidatus Syntrophoarchaeum caldarius isolate BOX2 BOX2_8_reassembly_contig02, whole genome shotgun sequence.
GCCGCUGUGGCUUAGUGGGAGAGCGGCUGACUCGUAAUCAGCAGGUCGUGGGUUCGAAUCCCACCAGCGGCU